GGCAACCAGCUCGGGUGCCGUUCCACACUGUGGAAGCUUUGUUCUUUCGUUCUUUGCAAUAAAUAUUGCUACUGCUCACUCUUUGGGUCCACGAUGCUUUUAUGAGCAGUAACACUCACCGCGAAGAUCUGCAGCUUCACUCCUGAGCCCAGCAAGACCACGAGCCCACCGGGAGGAACGAACAACUCCAGACGCGCUACCUUAAGAGCUGUAACACUCACCGUGAGGGUCCGCGGCUUCAUUCUUGAAGUCAGUGAGACCAAGAAGCCACCAAUUCCGGACACACUAUUACUUACAAUAAUAUGUAAGACAGACAAAGCCCCUGCUCUUGUGGAGCUUACAUAAAUAUAUAAUUGACUGUCUAGGAGGGAAGAGGCUAUGAAGAGAAGUAAAUAAGAGUAAGUGGAUAGGGAGGAACUUUACCUAGGGCGGUCAGGGGAUGCUAUGCUGAGCAGAGACCUGGAUGGAGUAAGAGAAUAAAAGCCAUGCACAUAUCAGGGACAAGAGCAUUACAGGCAGAGGGAAAAGCCAAAGAAGAGGCUCUGAGAUGGCAAAGAUGUCUGAAGUGUUUGAGGAGCAGUCAACAAGAAGGCCGCUGGGGCUGGAAGUCAGUGAGCAGGCCAAGUGGUAGGAAACGAAGUGAGAGAGGUACACAGGGCAAGGGACAUCUGUGGGCCACUGUAAAGAGGCAGAAAAGAGACCUUAUCUUACUUGUAAGGUAGAAGAGUCACUGUGUUCUGCAGGGCAGAGAAGAGAUGAAGAGAAGCAUGAAAGAAGGCAGGGAGAUUCAUUGGAAGGGUACUGCAGUGUCCAGGCAAGACAUAAUAGCUGCAUAUACUAGGUCAUCAAGGUCUAUAUAUUCUUCUCUUUUAGAACAUCGUUUGUUUUGUUAUUGCUGCUGCUGCUGCUGUUGUUGUUGUUGUCGUUUUAACCUUUAGAACUUUAGCAGAAUUUAUUUUGAGAUAUGAUGUCAUUUUAACUUUUUUCCAUAUGAAGAGCCAAUUGUCCCAACACCACUCUUUGAAUAUAGUCGUUCUUUUCCCAAUCGAAUUGUGAAACAAGUCAUGUUAUAUAUCAAUGGCUCUCUUUUAAGGGGACUCUCUAUUCUGGUUCAUAGAAUAGUUUUUCUAUUUCUGUGUGAAUGCCAUCUUUUCAAAUUGCUGUAAUCUUGCACUAUGUCUUGAUAUCGAGUAGAAGGGGUCUCACUCCACUAUCCCACCACGUUUUGCUCCUCUCUUUCAAAAUUGUUAAAAGAUUUUUGUGUACUUCAUUGUUUCAUAUUAACUUUAGGGUCAAUUUGCUUUUGAGUUUCCCCAAAAUCCUGUAGAUGUAUUGUGUUUUAACUACACUUAAUUUAACUUACCCUAGGGGGAACUGACAUCUAGAAAGUAUUAAGUCUCCCAAGUGUAGACGGAACCAGCUUUCCAUUGAUCAGGUUCUUCAAUAAAGUUUGAAACUUUUCUCCUUA
rnacentral:lncRNA from 1 species